rnacentral:rRNA from 1 species
UACAGAGGGUGCAAGCGUUAAUCGGAAUUACUGGGCGUAAAGGGCGCGUAGGCGGUCCGAUAAGUCCCGUGUGAAAGCCCCCGGCUCAACUGGGGAACUGCACGGGAAACUGACGGACUUGAGUUCGGGAGAGGGAAGCGGAAUUCCGGGUGUAGCGGUGAAAUUCGUAGAUAUCGGGAGGAACACCGGUGGCGAAGGCGGCGACCUGGGACAAUACUGACACUGAGGUGCGAAAGCGUGGGGAGCAAACAGG